ACCAUUAUGGUGGAAUUGGUAGACACGCAAGCUUGAGGGGUUUGUGAAUACAAUAUUCAUCCCGGUUCAAAUCCGGGUAAUGGUA
rnacentral:tRNA from 1 species